UACGUAGGGGGCAAGCGUUGUCCGGAUUUAUUGGGCGUAAAGAGCGUGUAGGCGGCCAUUCAGGUCAGCUGUGAAAACUCGAGGCUCAACCUCGAGACGUCGGUUGAAACCGUACGGCUAGAGUCCGGAAGAGGAGAGUGGAAUUCCCGGUGUAGCGGUGAAAUGCGCAGAUAUCGGGAAGAACACCCGUGGCGAAGGCGGCUCUCUGGGACGGUACUGACGCUGAGACGCGAAAGCGUGGGGAGCGAACAGG
rnacentral:rRNA from 1 species